rnacentral:rRNA from 1 species
AACCUUUACACUGCACGACAGUGCGAUAGGGGGACACCGAGUGCGAGGGCAUAGAGCCCUCGCUUUUGUAGACCGUAAGGAGGUCUACGAAUAAGGGCUGGGCAAGACCGGUGCCAGCCGCCGCGGUAACACCGGCAGCCCGAGUGAUGGCCGAUAUUAUUGGGCCUAAAGCGUCCGUAGCUGGCCGCACAAGUCCGUCGGGAAAUCCACUCGCUUAACGAGUGGGCGUCCGGCGGAAACUGUGCGGCUUGGGACCGGAAGAUCCGAGGGGUACGUCCGGGGUAGGAGUGAAAUCCCGUAAUCCUGGACGGACCACCGAUGGCGAAAGCACCUCGGAAGAACGGAUCCGACAGUGAGGGACGAAAGCUAGGGUCUCGAACCGGAUUAGAUACCCGGGUAGUCCUAGCCGUAAACGAUGCUCGCUAGGUGUGGCGCAGGCUACGAGCCUGCGCUGUGCCGUAGGGAAGCCGUGAAGCGAGCCGCCUGGGAAGUACGUCUGCAAGGAUGAAACUUAA